GGCCAUGGCUAUGUCUAGCAGGUGAUCUUCAGAAGGGAGAGACUGCAAUUGUGGAAACUUCAGAAGAGAGAGACUGCAAUUGCAAAAGCUGAAACGAUUGUUCUACCAAGAUAAUAUAAUGCCCAGUUUUGGAUAGAUAAAUUUUUGCCUGGACUUUCUACCAAGUAUUAUUUUUUAAGAAAAGAUAUUGCUGUUGUUGCUGUUGUAGUAGUUGAAAAGA
rnacentral:lncRNA from 1 species